GACGAACGCUGGCGGCGUGCUUAACACAUGCCAGUCGAACGGAAAGGCCCUGCUUUUGUGGGGUGCUCGAGUGGCGAACGGGUGAGUAACACGUGAGUAACCUGCCCUUGACUUUGGGAUAACUUCAGGAAACUGGGGCUAAUACCGGAUAGGAGCUCCUGCUGCAUGAUGGGGGUUGGAAAGUUUCGGCGGUUGGGGAUGGACUCGCGGCUUAUCGGCUUGUUGGUGGGGUAGUGGCUUACCAAGGCUUUGACGGGUAGCCGGCCUGAGAGGGUGACCGGCCACAUUGGGACUGAGAUACGGCCCAGACUCCUACGGGAGGCAGCAGUGGGGAAUAUUGCACAAUGGGCGGAAGCCUGAUGCAGCAACGCCGCGUGCGGGAUGACGGCCUUCGGGUUGUAAACCGCUUUCGCCUGUGACGAAGCGUGAGUGACGGUAAUGGGUAAAGAAGCACCGGCUAACUACGUG
rnacentral:rRNA from 1 species